rnacentral:rRNA from 1 species
UACGAAGGGAGCUAGCGUUGUUCGGAAUCACUGGGCGUAAAGCGCACGUAGGCGGAUGUGUCAGUCAGGGGUGAAAUCCCGGAGCUCAACUUCGGAACUGCCUCUGAUACAGCACGUCUUGAGUCCGGAAGAGGUGGGUGGAAUUCCUAGUGUAGAGGUGAAAUUCGUAGAUAUUAGGAAGAACACCGGUGGCGAAGGCGACUCACUGGACAUGUAUUGACGCUGAGGUGCGAAAGCGUGGGGAGCAAACAGG